UACGUAGGGGGCAAGCGUUAUCAGGAUUUACUGGGUGUAAAGGGAGCGCAGACGGAACUGCAAGUCUGAUGUGAAAGCCCGGGGCUCAACCGCGGGACUGCAUUGGAAACUGUAGAUCUGGAGUGCCGGAGGGGCAAGCGGAAUUCCUGGUGUAGCGGUGAAAUGCGUAGAUAUCAGGAGGAACACCGGCGGCGAAGGCGGCUUGCUGGACGGCAACUGACGUUGAGGCUCGAAAGCGUGGGGAGCAAACAGGAUUAGAUACCCGU
rnacentral:rRNA from 1 species